CCUACGGGUGGCUGCAGUCGAGAAUCAUUCACAAUGGGGGAAACCCUGAUGGUGCGACGCCGCGUGGGGGAAUGAAGGUCUUCGGAUUGUAAACCCCUGUCAUGUGGGAGCAAAUUAAAAAGAUAGUACCACAAGAGGAAGAGACGGCUAACUCUGUGACAGCAGCCGCGGUAAUAUAGAGGUCUCAAGCGUUGUUCGGAAUCACUGGGCGUAAAGCGUGCGUAGGCUGUUUCGUAAGGAGUGUGGGAAAGGCGCGGGCUCAACCCGCGGACGGCUCAUGAUACUGCGAGACUAGAGUGAUGGAGGGGGAACUGGAAUUCUCGGUGUAGCAGUGAAAUGCGUAGAUAUCGAGAGGAACACUCGUGGCGAAGGCGGGUUCCUGGACAUUAACUGACGCUGAGGCACGAAGGCCAGGGGAGCGAAAGGGAUUAGAUACCCCUGUAGUC
rnacentral:rRNA from 1 species